rnacentral:rRNA from 1 species
UACGGAGGGUGCAAGCGUUAUCCGGAUUCACUGGGUUUAAAGGGUGCGUAGGCGGGCAGGUAAGUCCGUGGUGAAAUCUCUGAGCUUAACUCAGAAACUGCCAUGGAUACUAUUUGUCUUGAAUGCGGUGGAGGUGAGCGGAAUAUGUCAUGUAGCGGUGAAAUGCUUAGAUAUGACAUAGAACACCGAUUGCGAAGGCAGCUCGCUACACCUGCAUUGACUCUGAGGCACGAAAGCGUGGGGAUCAAACAGG